rnacentral:misc_RNA from 1 species
AUGCCUCAUAAAAAAAAAAAAAAAUGUCAUACACUUAAUUUAUCCUAUAUAGAAGGUAGAAGUAUAGAACAAUGACUAUAGUCCACCUAUAACAAAUAGGUGGUUUCAAGUGCUACCUCUAUAUCCCCAGAUCAGUGUACAUGAUCUUUACAUAUGAUACUAUGAUACGUGAAUAUAUAUGGUGGUCUUAAAAUUUCGGCUUAUCCAAUUCCAACUAAAUGAAUUGGAUGAAAUAUAAAUUAAUACAUAUAUUACACUUCAUAAGCGUAUUUUAAUAAAAUUAUAAUAAUUAAUAUAAUCACUGAUUGAAACCUGGAACAUUAGAUCAGCAAUAGUCAGAACAUUUACCCAAAUUCUACCUGCGCAGUUCAGAUACUCAUACUAUGUAGGUCUGUUUCAAAUUCUUUCUUCCCCGCUUUCUUCUUGGGUUGGCACUGAUCAUGCAAGAGAAGGCAUUGACAAGCUCUGGAUCCUCUUCAGUUAUGAGCAUCUUAGCUGCAGAUGGGUCUGCAAGCAAGAGCUUUGCUACAAGGUAUCCAGCAAUAGACCAGGUCUGGAACAGGCGUGCUUGUUUUCCAAUGAAUCUUGCUCUUUUGGUAUCAUAAUAUUCAGGCCACUUGUCCCGUGAUAUGCAUCUUUCGGCAACUUCAACAGCUCUGGCAGCAAUUUCUGGUCUAUUCAUCUUUAUGCCUGCAACUGUCAGCUGCCAAAGAAGAGUUGGCCAAGAACCUGCAUUGUGGUAAGACCAAGGCGUGUUCUUGGGAUCACUGCCUGUGAUGAUCUGCCAUUCCUGGCCUUCAAGAGCAGGAUAACAUAUCUUCAAUGGCAUGCCUGCUACCAGAUCUGUCCACUUGGCUUCAAUGAGAUCCAAUAUGGCAUGUGAUUGAUCUAUUGUAGCAAGACCACUUACAACAGACCAUAAGUUUCCAAGAGAGAAAAAUCUAAAAUCCAUGUGAGCUGGUUGCAAGUUCCCAAUUAGAUAGCCCCCUUGGUUGGGCAUCCAUUCCACCAGCCAAGGAGAAAUCUGAUCUGGAUAAAUGUUGAACUUAUUAACUGCAUCAUAAGAGUACUCUUCAGUCUUGUAACGAUAAAUCUCAUUUAGUUUUCUCAAAUCAAUCCAAUAAUAUUCCCUGAUAUGGAAUGACAGAGCAACUAGACGAUUGUUCAAAGCUCGGAUGAGAUCAGC